rnacentral:rRNA from 1 species
GGGAGUAUCGACCCUCUCUGUGCCGAAGCUAACGCUUUAAGUACCCCGCCUGGGGAGUACGGUCGCAAGACUAAAACUCAAAGGAAUUGACGGGGGCCCGCACAAGCAGCGGAGCGUGUGGUUUAAUUCGAUGCUACACGAAGAACCUCACCAAGGCUUGACAUGUUAGAAGUAGUGAACCGAAAGGGGAACG